GUGAGGAAUAUUGGUCAAUGGACGAGAGUCUGAACCAGCCAAGUCGCGUGAAGGAAGACGGUUCUAUGAAUUGUAAACUUCUUUUGUGCAGGAAUAAAGUGGGUUACGUGUAACCUUUGUAUGUACUGUACGAAUAAGGAUCGGCUAACUCCGUGCCAGCAGCCGCGGUAAUACGGAGGAUCCGAGCGUUAUCCGGAUUUAUUGGGUUUAAAGGGUGCGUAGGUGGAUUGAUAAGUCAGCGGUGAAAGUUUGCAGCUUAACUGUAAAAUUGCCGUUGAAACUGUCGGUCUUGAGUGCAAAUGAGGUAGGCGGAAUGUGUUGUGUAGCGGUGAAAUGCUUAGAUAUAACACAGAACUCCGAUUGCGAAGGCAGCUUACUGGGAUGCAACUGACACUGAUGCACGAAAGCGUGGGUAUCAAACAGGAUUAGAAACCCUUGUAGUCC
rnacentral:rRNA from 1 species